CGCCGCGCCCCCNGAACCGCACGGUCGCAGAGGCCCCCGCGGUGCUCUUGAAUGAGUGUCCGCGGUCUCGGGUCGCCGAACGUUUACUUUGAAAAAAUUAGAGUGCUCCAGGCAGGCCGGUAAAGCGUUUUUAAACCCGCGCCUGAAUAGUCACGCAUGGAAUAAUGAAAGAGGACCGGUGGUCCUAUUUUGUUGGUUUUCGGGAUUUUCCGCCGUCAUGAUUAAGAGGGACGGCCGGGGGCAUUCGUACCGCGGCGCGAGAGGUGAAAUUUUAGGACCGUCGCGAGACGAACCGUUGCGAAAGCAUUUGCCAAGAAUGUUUUCCUUAAUCAAGAACGAAAGUCAGAGGUUCGAAGGCGAUCAGAUACCGCCCUAGUUCUGACCGUAAACGAUGCCACCUGACGAUCCGCCAGGGUUACUACCAUGACUCGGCGGGCAGCCCCCGGGAAACCCAAGCCUUCGGGUUCCGGGGGAAGUAUGGUUGCAAAGCUGAAACUUAAAGGAAUUGACGGAAGGGCACCACCAGGAGUGGAGCCUGCGGCUUAAUUUGACUCAACACGGGGNNCNUCACCCGGCCCGGACACCGCGAGGAUUGACAGAUUGAGAG
rnacentral:rRNA from 1 species